rnacentral:piRNA from 1 species
CAGCCAGUCCUUCCUUUUCCAGGCUCCU